UCAAAACUUUCAACAACGGAUCUCUUGGUUCUGGCAUCGAUGAAGAACGCAGCGAAAUGCGAUAAGUAAUGUGAAUUGCAGAAUUCAGUGAAUCAUCGAAUCUUUGAACGCACAUUGCGCCCUCUGGUAUUCCGGGGGGCAUGCCUGUUCGAGCGUCAUUA
rnacentral:rRNA from 1 species